GAUGAACGCUGGCGGCGUGCCUAAUACAUGCAAGUCGAGCGAACAGACGAGGAGCUUGCUCCUCUGACGUUAGCGGCGGACGGGUGAGUAACACGUGGAUAACCUACCUAUAAGACUGGGAUAACUUCGGGAAACCGGAGCUAAUACCGGAUAAUAUAUUGAACCGCAUGGUUCAAUAGUGAAAGACGGUUUUGCUGUCACUUAUAGAUGGAUCCGCGCCGCAUUAGCUAGUUGGUAAGGUAACGGCUUACCAAGGCGACGAUGCGUAGCCGACCUGAGAGGGUGAUCGGCCACACUGGAACUGAGACACGGUCCAGACUCCUAGGGGAGGCAGCAGUAGGGAAUCUUCCGCAAUGGGCGAAAGCCGGACGGAGCAACGCCGCGUGAGUGAUGAAGGUCUUCGGAUCGUAAAACUCUGUUAUUAGGGAAGAACAAAUGUGUAAGUAACUAUGCACGUCUUGACGGUACCUAAUCAGAAAGCCACGGCUAACUACGUG
rnacentral:rRNA from 1 species